rnacentral:lncRNA from 1 species
AUGAAUCCUCUCCUUCUCGGAGCUGCAGACGUGAAGCUCCUCCGUGUUCAGGCUGGGCUGUUUGCACUGACUGCAGCAGGAGGCGGGAAACAAGGCGAGGUCCUCGGGUUAAUUGAAGUCUCUUCUCGGACACUGCUGUUAAGGCAGAAACAGCAAGUUGUGGUCACCAGGCCUGGGGCCAUCAAGCUGCCGCAGCCAGCUCCUCCCUCGAGCCCCUGCGUGUGUGCACACCCGCGCAUGUCUGUGAGCACACACGCGCGCACACACGCACACUGGGCUCCGGUGCACCUCAGAGCUCUGCCUGCGCCGUGGUCUUUCAUGUCUGUGUCCUUGCCUUGGCUGUUUCUACGCCUCUCGUACCUGGUGGAACCCCGCUCAUGUGCCCGAAACAGUCUGGAUGUGAAGAAUAAACGAAGUUCAUUGUCUCUCCUUGGAGCCAUGUUGGGAAACGGGCUGCCUACUUCACAUGAAGACAACUCGUUCGCAGCUAUUGCGUUCCCGACAUCCAGUCCAGACCUGCUGUGCUGUGCGGCCCAAGCCAUUUCGGGACACAGGCUGACCACCCUUGCAGCCAGGAGAACAGGUUUUGAGGUCCCCAUGCUCAGAUCUGAGUGCCAACUUUAGCAUCUACUUUAUUGGCUUUGCUAAAGUCCCUUGAAGUUCUUCAGACCUCUAUUUUUUAAUCCUUAAAAUGGGGAGAAUUCUACACCAUUGUGUUGCUGUGUGGAUUAAAUGAAGUAAGGCAUGCCCAUUAGGAAAAUGAUGGGGGCGGUCAUUCGCGGCAGAGUGGGUUAAGUUGCCCCGUGGGACUCCAGCAUUGGACACCUGUGUUGGAGUGCCACUCCAAGUUUGGGCUGUCACUUUGUGUCCAGCUUCCUGUUAGUGCCCACCUGGGGAGGCAGCAGAGGAUGCUCAAGCACCUGCGUCCCUGUCACCCCUGUGGGAAACCCAGAUGGAGCUCCGGGCUCCCGGCUUCAGCCUGGACCAGCCCUGAGUGCUGAGAGUAUUUAGAGUUAACCAGCAUAUUCGAGAUCUCUCUCUCUCCACCCCCCUCUCUCUUUCUCUCUCUCUCUCUCCCUCUCUCUCUCUCUCUCUCUGCCUUUCAAAUAAAUAAAAAUAAAUAUACUCUUUAAAGCA